GGCUUAAAGAGAGUGUUUGAGUGCAAAUCAAAUGUGGGGCCGGAUGGCCCUUAAGCCU
rnacentral:tRNA from 1 species